GACGAACGCUGGCGGCGUGCUUAACACAUGCAAGUCGAACGGAAAGGCCCUGCUUUUGUGGGGUGCUCGAGUGGCGAACGGGUGAGUAACACGUGAGUAACCUGCCCUUGACUUUGGGAUAACUUCAGGAAACUGGGGCUAAUACCGGAUAGGAGCUCCUGCUGCAUGGUGGGGGUUGGAAAGUUUCGGCGGUUGGGGAUGGACUCGCGGCUUAUCAGCUUGUUGGUGGGGUAGUGGCUUACCAAGGCUUUGACGGGUAGCCGGCCUGAGAGGGUGACCGGCCACAUUGGGACUGAGAGACGGACCAGACUGCUACGGGAGGCAGCAGUGGGGAAUAUUGCACAAUGGGCGGAAGCGUGAGGCAGCAACGCCGCGUGCGGGAUGACGGCCUUCGGGUUGUAAACCGCUUUCGCCUGUGACGAAGCGUGCGUGACGGUAAUGGGUAAAGAAGCACCGGCUAACUACGUG
rnacentral:rRNA from 1 species